rnacentral:rRNA from 1 species
AUUGAACGCUGGCGGCAGGCUUAACACAUGCAAGUCGAGCGGAGUGAUGGUGCUUGCACUAUGACUUAGCGGCGGACGGGUGAGUAAUGCUUAGGAAUCUGCCAUUUAGUGGGGGACCACAUUCCGAAAGGAAUGCUAAUACCGCAUACGUCCUACGGGAGAAAGCAGGGGAUCUUCGGACCUUGCGCUAAAUGAUGAGCCUAAGUCGGAUUAGCUAGUUGGUGGGGUAAAGGCCUACCAAGGCGACGAUCUGUAGCGGGUCUGAGAGGAUGAUCCGCCACACUGGGACUGAGACACGGCCCAGACUCCUACGGGAGGCAGCAGUGGGGAAUAUUGGACAAUGGGCGGAAGCCUGAUCCAGCCAUGCCGCGUGUGUGAAGAAGGCCUUUUGGUUGUAAAGCACUUUAAGCGAGGAGGAGGCUACUAGUACUAAUACUACUGGAUAGUGGACGUUACUCGCAGAAUAAGCACCGGCUAACUCUGUGCCAGCCGCCGCCGUAACAC